AUUUCCUAUUAUCCUUACUACAUCCAAGCCAUCCUCACUUCCCCUCGCCUCUCUUCUCCAACCGUAGCAUAAACAAUCCUUUCUUUCACAAAACUUUUUCACCCCCCUCACCUCUUUCUCUUUGUCCCAGCAUUGCUUACCCUAUCCUGCCUACCAUUAAAUCCCACAUCCCACAUCCCAGCUGUUAUUGUACUUCCCAAUUCUUUCUGUAUUUCUGUACUGCGCUGGUUCAACGAAAACGCAAACAUAAAAUUUCCUUUCACCCACUCGUCCCUUGUUAUCGUUGUUUUUUAUUUUAUCAUUUUUAUUUACUCUUAUUUUGAUUAUUUUUUACAAGUUAUCAGCGAGCGUGUUUAUUUAUCCAUCCCUCUUGUUAUCAGUCCAAGGAAAACUGUUUUACCGACCAGCGCAUAAGCACCAAAUCUGUUUUUCUUGUUUUAUCUUUUCUAAUUUUCAAUGUAUGCUUUUCUUUAGUUUUUAUCGUGAGAAACAGCAUUUGGCUUACAAUUUUUCACAUUCACAUUCACAUUCGCAUCACAUCUCAUCUCAUCCCAUCUGCUACUCUUUGGCAGCACUCACGGAUUCCACGCAAUUAGCCCAAAUCCGGUGAUCUGUAAACAUUUUUUAGCUUUCCAACAAGUGCAAACCUGACGGAAUCCUUUAAUACUUUUUUUUUCUUUUUCUUUUUUUUUUUUUUUUUUUGGUUGAGAUAAAUAACAAAUUUUCUUUAUUUUUUUCUCUUACACUUUAACUUUGAAAUUAAUCCAUCUUUUUCAUUUUGUACACAAAUAUUAUAUGUUAUUUAUCUUUUCUUUUUUUCAAGGUUCUCUCUCUUCUUCCACCACUACAUGGAACGGUCCCGUUUUUUAAAAGUGCCUACUUUAUUUGAUUUGAACCGAGGAGUCCAAGGCACUUAAUUCCUCCCUUCCCGUCUUUCUUGCUCCGCUUUGUCGGACCACAAGACAACUGCUGUUUUGACAGUUUUUGGCCUUAAAACUUAGUAAGUCACAACUACUACGAAAUAGAGUCAGCAGCGUUAUUACCACGUUGUUAUCUUAAAAGACCUCCUUUUAACCUAAUCACCUACCUCUCUUUACCACUACCCAUUAGACUUCCCGGUUGUAGUGGAGGGUUCUAGGUACUUGGUGGGGGUUAUGCAUGCAGCCGAAGCAGAGGUGGUAACAGAGUACACAGGCUGAAGAAGAUGUUGGGUAAAUUAGGUUAAAUGGCAUGCAUUACGAUAAGGGAAAUUACGCGUUCUUGGGAUGACAAAAGUGAGUGCACAAAUAUCAUAUAGCGGUGCAUAAUCAUCACAUACCACGUAAAGUAUUGACAUACAGUGGAAAAAGGAAAUAUUGCUUCACCGAGACAUCAUAAUGAGUCCAUUACAUAAUAGGAUAUGUUUUAGCUAGCGAAGCUUCUUCUCAUCCCACUCUAAAGGAUCAGAGAGAGUUAAGGAUGAAUGGAGAAGGGUUUGUGUAAAGUAAUAUUGUGCUGAGUAAAGAGAUAUAGGGAGAGAGUUGAUAAUACAAAAAGAUGGGGGUUGCAAGUUGGUGAUUUGACUUAUCUCUCAAAGAAAAGAAAGAACUUUAAUAUCCAAUGGCCUUAGUUGGCAGCAUAAAGAAAAUUUGAUACUUUCGAUAGCUCUAAAAAUAAAAAACAAAAACAAAGAAAUUUAAACAAAACAAACAUUUUAUGCGAUAAGAAUGGGUUAAGAUUGUAGUAACAUGUGUCGGCACUUCUUUUAAGUCAAAGUAUGUAAAUAAAAUGAAAUAACAAUGAAUGACUAACUUUCAUACUUCUACAUUACAACUAAGUAUUUAUAUGUGUUUGUCAAUUACUAGUUUGUACUAUAUUCUGCUAUUUUCAUCAUUGCUAUUAUCAAUCCGUCAAGUGGUUAAUUGAUUCAUCCCUCAUUUGGAAUCCUAUUUGUGUCACUUCGUAUACCAUUAAUAUCCUUUUUUCUGCCACCCGAAAUUGUAAAAAUUUUUUUUACUUCUAUUACUUCCACUUUGUUUUCUUUCUAGACUAUUUUUGAUGCCGCUUCCAUAAUCGGCUUCUUUUUGAUAAGUCAUCUCUCCAGAUACCAGAUAUCUACUCAUAUACGAAUUUACGUAUAUCUCCAUUUAUUAUCUACGCAACUUAUCCUUACACCAAAAAAAAAACAGUCUCUCUUGUCAAGGCUGGCGUUUCGUAGUUUUAGCUAAUUCUUUGGUUCUCUCUAAUUACUACAUCCAUGAAUUUUUGUUUCUGUGUAAUAUUAUUUCAAAAAUUAUAAAAUUAAAUUCCAUUUACAAUACGGCUCAUUCGAAUUUGGGGAAAAAUAUUGUUAUUCAAAAUUUCCUAAUCAUCUAAAUGUGUACUGUUAAAAGGCUCAAUUUACUAGCAUCUCAUAUUCGAGAACUUGUAGAUGCAAAUAUCGUGUUUGUAUUCCUUUAUUAGUAAUAAACUUCGUGAUAAACGCUGACCAGCAGUGUUUCAUUUCUUUGAAUAAAUAGAAAACCAAUCCUUAUAAUUAGGGGAAGUUCAACACGGUACGCAUUUCAAUAAUUUCAUUUACAUUUGGG